rnacentral:rRNA from 1 species
GACGAACGCUGGCGGCGCGCUUAACACAUGCAAGUCGAACGGAAAGGCCUGCUUUCCCUUGUAGAUUGCGGGUACUCGAGUGGCGAACGGGUGAGUAACACGUGAGUGGUCUGCCCACAACUUGGGUAUAAGCCUGGGAAACCGGGUCUACUUCCCGAUAGGACUGCAGGGUGGUGGCUGUGGUGGAAAACGAUCUUCUGGUGGUUGGGGAUGAGCUCGCGGCCUAUCAGCGUGUUGGUGGGGUAAUGGCCUACCAAGGCGGCGACGGGUAGCCGGCCUGGGAGGGGGGACGGUGAGAUUGGGACUGGGAUAAGGCCCAGACGCCUACGGGAGGCAGCAGUGGGGGAUAGUGCACAACGGGCGGAAGCCUGAUGCAGCGACGGCGCGGGGGGGAUGACGGCCUUCGGGUUGGAAACUCCUUGCGACCGAGAGGAAGCCACCUGGUUGGAAGGGUGGUGACGGUAGUGGUAGAAGAAGCACCGGCUAACUACGUG